UUCAUAAAACUUGUUUAAAACGCAUAAUAAGGGUGGAUCCGAGCUUACCUCUUGAAGAAACGAGAGGGAAGACGAUCCUAGCUUGGAGAUGAAGAGAUUGAGCUCCUUGAACCUCCAAGCACCCAAAACUUGCUCUUUGCUCACAAAUCUUCAAAAUUGAAGUUAAAACUCGUGAAAACCAUGAAAGAUCUAGGGAAAACACUCAAGAUUGAGGGAGGAGCGGCGGAGACUCACCUUGGCCGACAAUGGGAGAGAAAAAGCUCGCCCGUGCGGACCAAAGGGACCCUUUUAUAUGUGGCUGGCCAGGCCACGUUCGG
rnacentral:lncRNA from 1 species